UGCAGCCAUACCACCCUGAACUUGUCCAGUCUCGUCUGAUCUUGGAGGCAUAGCGGGGCCAGGGCCUGCUUAGUACUCGGAUGGGAGACCAAGCAGGGAGGAAGGCAAGUAACUGGAAUAC
rnacentral:rRNA from 1 species